rnacentral:snoRNA from 1 species
UUUAUCUUGUUUAAGCUCUGUACUAAAAUCGCAGAAACUAAUAUUAUAUCUUAACAUUUGUAAUGAAGCUAGCAGAGAAACACAAGAAAAACAACAACAACUGAACAACUGUACCAGAUAGGAGAAAAAUUGAGUUGAACUUCUUUCUUAAGUCUAGAGUACAUUGUUCUAAGAUUUGGUACAAUAUCU